rnacentral:rRNA from 1 species
AGUGAACGCUGGCGGCGUGCCUAAUACAUGCAAGUCGAACGAUGAAGCUUCUAGCUUGCUAGAAUGCUGAUUAGUGGCGCACGGGUGAGUAACGCAUAGGUUAUGUGCCUCUUAGUUUGGGAUAGCCAUUGGAAACGAUGAUUAAUACCAGAUACUCCCUACGGGGGAAAGAUUUAUCGCUAAGAGAUCAGCCUAUGUCCUAUCAGCUUGUUGGUAAGGUAAUGGCUUACCAAGGCUAUGACGGGUAUCCGGCCUGAGAGGGUGAACGGACACACUGGAACUGAGACACGGUCCAGACUCCUACGGGAGGCAGCAGUAGGGAAUAUUGCUCAAUGGGGGAAACCCUGAAGCAGCAACGCCGCGUGGAGGAUGAAGGUUUUAGGAUUGUAAACUCCUUUUGUUAGAGAAGAUAAUGACGGUAUCUAACGAAUAAGCACCGGCUAACUCCGUGCCAGCAGCCGCGGUAAUACGGAGGGUGCAAGCGUUACUCGGAAUCACUGGGCGUAAAGAGCGCGUAGGCGGGAUAGUCAGUCAGGUGUGAAAUCCUAUGGCUUAACCAUAGAACUGCAUUUGAAACUACUAUUCUAGAGUGUGGGAGAGGUAGGUGGAAUUCUUGGUGUAGGGGUAAAAUCCGUAGAGAUCAAGAGGAAUACUCAUUGCGAAGGCGACCUGCUGGAACAUUACUGACGCUGAUUGCGCGAAAGCGUGGGGAGCAAACAGGAUUAGAUACCCUGGUAGUCCACGCCCUAAACGAUGGAUGCUAGUUGUUGGAGGGCUUAGUCUCUCCAGUAAUGCAGCUAACGCAUUAAGCAUCCCGCCUGGGGAGUACGGUCGCAAGAUUAAAACUCAAAGGAAUAGACGGGGACCCGCACAAGCGGUGGAGCAUGUGGUUUAAUUCGAAGAUACACGAAGAACCUUACCUAGGCUUGACAUUGAGAGAAUCCGCUAGAAAUAGUGGAGUGUCUAGCUUGCUAGACCUUGAAAACAGGUGCUGCACGGCUGUCGUCAGCUCGUGUCGUGAGAUGUUGGGUUAAGUCCCGCAACGAGCGCAACCCCCUUUCUUAGUUGCUAACAGGUUAUGCUGAGAACUCUAAGGAUACUGCCUCCGUAAGGAGGAGGAAGGUGGGGACGACGUCAAGUCAUCAUGGCCCUUACGCCUAGGGCUACACACGUGCUACAAUGGGGUGCACAAAGAGAAGCAAUACUGCGAAGUGGAGCCAAUCUUCAAAACACCUCUCAGUUCGGAUUGAAGGCUGCAACUCGCCUGCAUGAAGCUGGAAUCGCUAGUAAUCGCAAAUCAGCCAUGUUGCGGUGAAUACGUUCCCGGGUCUUGUACUCACCGCCCGUCACACCAUGGGAGUUGUGUUUGCCUUAAGUCAGGAUGCUAAACUAGCUACUGCCCACGGCACACACAGCGACUGGGGUGAAGUCGUAACAAGGUAACCGUAGGUGAACC